rnacentral:rRNA from 1 species
CAGGGAUUGCCUCAGUAACGGCGAGUGAAGCGGCAACAGCUCAAAUUUGAAAUCUGGCCGCAAGGUCCGAGUUGUAAUUUGUAGAGGAUGCUUUUGGCGAGGUGACUUCCGAGUUCCCUGGAACGGGACGCCAUAGAGGGUGAGAGCCCCGUACGGUCGUGCCACCGAGCCUCUGUAAAGCUCCUUCGACGAGUCGAGUAGUUUGGGAAUGCUGCUCUAAAUGGGAGGUGUACGUCUUCUAAAGCUAAAUACCGGCCAGAGACCGAUAGCGCACAAGUAGAGUGAUCGAAAGAUGAAAAGCACUUUGAAAAGAGGGUUAAAAAGUACGUGAAAUUGUUGAAAGGGAAGCAUUCAUGACCAGACUUGGGCUUGGUUGAACAUCCGGCGUUCUCGCCGGUGCACUCUGCCAGCUCAGGCCAGCAUCAGUUUGCCCCGGGGGACAAAGGCGGCGGGAAUGUGGCUCCCUACGGGGAGUGUUAUAGCCCGUCGUGUAAUGCCCUGGGGUGGACUGAGGUUCGCGCUUCGGCACGGAUGCUGGCGUAAUGGUCAUCAAUGACCCGUCUUGAAACACGGACCAAGGAGUCGUCUUCGUAUGCGAGUGUUCGGGUGUCAAACCCCUACGCGUAAUGAAAGUGAACGUAGGUGAGAGCUUCGGCGCAUCACCGACCGAUCCUGAUGUUCUCGGAUGGAUUUGAGUAAGAGCAUACGGGGCCGGACCCGAAAGAAGGUGAACUAUGCCUGUAUAGGGUGAAGCCAGAGGAAACUCUGGUGGAGGCUCGCAGCGGUUCUGACGUGCAAAUCGAUCGUCAAAUAUGGGCAUGGGGGCGAAA